AUGUGCCGCUCGUCCACGUCGGUUCCGAGUGCGCCGUCCACACCCACCUGGCGGCGGCUCGCCAGGUUGUGUCAGCC
rnacentral:sRNA from 2 species